GGCAGUUUGGCUGCAGGAGGUCAGGCAGCAACAUCGCCUGGCUGUAGGGUUGCUGUGAACGCCUGGAGCACAGGACAACCAAAGUGCAGUAGUAAAGAAGACCCUUUGUUUUCAGGAUUCAAAUGAAAUGUUAUGGCUAUAGUGAUCAUCCAGAGUAAAAAAAAACAAACAAAAAACCCACACCCCUCAAAAUAAGAAGGGCCUGAUCCUGGAGUUUUUCAUAAGAAACUAUCAUCCUUGAAGGACAGUGGAAGACUUCAGUAUCA